rfam:Butyrivibrio fibrisolvens 16/4 draft genome.
AAAAAGGCGCCUAUCGGCGCCAUUAAAAUAUUUAUAUCAAUUAUUGU